CUACGGGUCGCACCAGUGGGGAAUCUUAGACAAUGGGGGAAACCCUGAUCUAGCCAUGCCGCGUGAGCGACGACGGCCCUAGGGUUGUAAAGCUCUUUCAGCAGGGAAGAUAAUGACGGUACCUGCAGAAGAAGUCCCGGCUAACUCCGUGCCAGCAGCCGCGGUAAUACGGAGGGGACUAGCGUUGUUCGGAAUUACUAGGCGUAAAGCGCGCGUAGGCGGAUUAUUAAGUCGGGGGUGAAAUCCCGGGGCUCAACCCCGGAACUGCCCUCGAUACUGGCAGUCUUGAGUUCGAGAGAGGUGAGUGGAAUUCCGAGUGUAGAGGUGAAAUUCGUAGAUAUUCGGAGGAACACCAGUGGCGAAGGCGGCUCACUGGCUCGAUACUGACGCUGAGGUGCGAAAGCGUGGGGAGCAAACAGGAUUAGAUACCCGUGUAGUC
rnacentral:rRNA from 1 species